CCUACCUGUUUUCGCUGUGCGCUCCUCCCACUCGCCCCCCCCAGCUCUCCCGUGGCCUGGUAACACAUCAACUUUGGUUCGGUGUCUGCAGAGGAAAGCAUCUUCAGGCCUCGCUUGAGGGCUGGCUGCCCUCUUUUUUGCCCGCCCGUAGAGGUCCUGAAGGGUGUGUGCACACCGAGAGUUACAGAAAAGAUUGCUUCCCUGUGAAAAAGCUUUCCCGUGGUUAUCGAGGAUGCAGCCGUGAGUAAGACAGAACAGCUCUGUGGCACUCGUUUCUAACUGGGGAGACACUUACAAUAGAUCUGAGCAGCUCCAGAGUAUGUCUGCUUAGGAUUUCAGAUGCGUGGACUCAGUUUCUUGGUGUGCUGCCUGCCUUUAAGUCGACUUCACCAUCUCUCCUCGAAGUGGUCCCCGUAGCCAGCAUUCUCCAGGAUCAGUUCAGCAGAAGAGGGGUUCAUUCUCCUAAAUGGUUAAAAGAAAAGGACUGGGCUAGCUUUGCUUGGCCUGGAUUGAGUCUCAUGACCAGAUCACUGUGGUCACAGGGGAGCUGUGCUGAUGGCUCUGGUCCUGCCCCAGAGCAUAAAGUGGGGAGUGAAGUCAGCUCCACCAGGCAUCACAGUGGAGGAGGAGGGGGGAAGGAUGGGGCAUUGUCACCAGCAGUGAAGGGGUGCUGCCGAGAAGGCCAAAGGAACAAAUGCCCACCUCAGAUUGUUGGGUCAGUUUUGAAAAGGGAUUGCAGAGCAUGUUGUGAUGAAAUCGUAGUUUUCAAGUCCACCAAACAGCUUGAUUUUUCCCCACCUGCCUCUUACCACUCUGCAUCCUGCCCCGGUAGUGGGACUUCCUCAUGGGAGUGAUACUGUAAAUGCCAGAACGAGGCACUCAGUAGGCUUCCCGUAAGCCGUCAACUCCCCACCCAAGUCGGGGUGGGGGCCUAGCCUCUGCCGAGUGAGCCAGUAGCAUCUCAGGUAUUUUGUAAGUAGGAUGGAGUAGAUGAAUUGAAAGUGCCGGUUUGAUAUAAUUUUCUCUUUGCCAGAUAAUAUUUGUUUAAUGUAACACAAACUAUGGACAAUGAGCAAUUUAUUGUUGUUUUUGUCAAAAAGUCAUGUCUUCAAAGAUAGUGAAGUUCUCCCUGGGGGUAGGGUUUCUUGAGCACAGCUUAAAGAGAAAGCUUUCCCCUAAGUUUACAUAAACCAAGGGACCUGUCUUCACAUCAGGGUUUCAAUGGAAGCUUGCCCUCAUUAACUUGAAAACCAGAGAGGGCUGAGGAGAUUUAGCUAAUGGUAUCUUCAAACCUUUCUUUUUCCUCCUAAGAUCAUGCCCUAGGAACCGUUCAUUUCCCAGGAGGUGCAACAGGAGUUGCAUUGAAUAUAUGAACUAGACAUUAUUGAGUACUCUAGAGACAAAAUUAGGGCUUUUACUGGGGCUUCAUGAAGACCUCCUUCCAAAAUAAAGCACACCAAGUAUGCUCAUAACUUUUGCCUCCCAUAAGCUUUCUUUGAUCUUUGCUGACAAAAAUCAAAUGUACAGUUUUUUCAGGAUGCCAUAGGGCCAAUAUAAUUAGCACUGAGAUUUCUAAGGUCACAAGCCCUACCUAUAUUUUGGAUUAACAAACCAUCCCCUAGAGGUAGAUGAAAUAAUCCUCCUCCAUGAAACAAGAAGAAAAACUCCAGUUCAAAGAAUCUUUGGAACAAGAUUCUUGACUCACAUAAAGUGAUGAAUCCACCACUCUAUAGAGCAACUCUAUCUUACCCAUCAAAACCAGUUUGUUGCUGUUUAUCUCAUGACAGGGUAGUUCUGGUUUUUACGCCUCCUAGUUCAAACAUCAAAAAGCUUUGCAUUUGACCAGACAAACUUUAAACUCACAUCUCUAAAAGUUUAAGUGGCAUUAAACUUUAUGAAAUUUUGAGUCACUAAAUGCUGAUACACCAGACGGCAUAAUAUUUUAUAUACACGCAGUUGCAUCCAGCAGAACAAGCAGUGGUUCUCUCAUGACACUAGAUCAGCAAUUCUCAAACUUGUUCAUCAUAGGACCCCUUUAUACUGUUAAAAAUUACUAAGGACCCCGAAGAGCUUUUUAGAUUUUUAUGACUUAUCAAAUUAAAACAAAACAAAAUUAAAACAAAAAGAU